rnacentral:rRNA from 1 species
GCCCUGGAAACGGGGUCUAAUACCGGAUACGAGCCUCCUGGGCAUCUGGGAGGUUGGAAAGCUCCGGCGGUGCAGGAUGAGCCCGCGGCCUAUCAGCUUGUUGGUGAGGUAACGGCUCACCAAGGCGACGACGGGUAGCCGGCCUGAGAGGGCGACCGGCCACACUGGGACUGAGACACGGCCCANACUCCUACGGGAGGCAGCAGUGGGGAAUAUUGCACAAUGGGCGAAAGCCUGAUGCAGCGACGCCGCGUGAGGGAUGACGGCCUUCGGGUUGUAAACCUCUUUCAGCAGGGAAGAAGCGAGAGUGACGGUACCUGCARAAGAAGCGCCGGCUAACUACGUGCCAGCAGCCGCGGUAAUACGUAGGGCGCAAGCGUUGUCCGGAAUUAUUGGGCGUAAAGAGCUCGUAGGCGGCUUGUCGCGUCGAUUGUGAAAGCCCGGGGCUUAACUCCGGGUCUGCAGUCGAUACGGGCAGGCUAGAGUGUGGUAGGGGAGAUCGGAAUUCCUGGUGUAGCGGUGAAAUGCGCAGAUAUCAGGAGGAACACCGGUGGCGAAGGCGGAUCUCUGGGCCAUUACUGACGCUGAGGAGCGAAAGCGUGGGGAGCGAACAGGAUUAGAUACCCUGGUAGUCCACGCCGUAAACGGUGGGCACUAGGUGUUGGCGACAUUCCACGUCGUCGGUGCCGCAGCUAACGCAUUAAGUGCCCCGCCUGGGGAGUACGGCCGCAAGGCUAAAACUCAAAGGAAUUGACGGGGGCCCGCACAAGCGGCGG